rnacentral:rRNA from 1 species
UGGGGAAUUUUGGACAAUGGGCGCAAGCCUGAUCCAGCAAUGCCGCGUGCAGGAUGAAGGCCUUCGGGUUGUAAACUGCUUUUGUACGGAACGAAACGGUCUUUUCUCAUACAGAAGGCUAAUGACGUUACCGUAAGAAUAAGCACCGGCUAACUACGUGCCAGCAGCCGCGGUAAUACGUAGGGUGCGAGCGUUAAUCGGAAUUACUGGGCGUAAAGCGUGCGCAGGCGGUUUUGUAAGACAGUUGUGAAAUCCCCGGGCUCAACCUGGGAACUGCAUCUGUGACUGCAUCGCUGGAGUGCGGCAGAGGGGGAUGGAAUUCCGCGUGUAGCAGUGAAAUGCGUAGAUAUGCGGAGGAACGCCGAUGGCGAAGGCAAUCCCCUGGGCCUGAACUGACGCUCAUGCACGGAAGCGUGGGGAGCAAACA